UUUAACUGAGCGUUCAGUUACUUGACGUAGACCCGAAACCGGGCGACCUACCCAUGAGCAGGAUGAAGCGAAAGUAAAAUUUCGUGGAGGUCCGAACCCACGAGCGUUGAAAAGCUCGGGGAUGACUUGUGGGUAGCGGUGAAAUUCCAAUCGAGCCCGGAGAUAGCUGGUUCUCCCCGAAAUAGCUUUAGGGCUAGCCUCAAGGUGAGAGAUACGGAGGUAGAGCACUGAAUGUCCUAGGGGGUAUUGCACCUACCGAAGACUAUCAAACUCCGAAUGCCGUCAUCUUAUACUUGGGAGUCAGACUGUGGGUGAUAAGAUUCAUAGUCGAAAGGGCAACAGCCCAGAUCGUCAGCUAAGGUCCCUAAAUGUAAGUUAAGUGGUAAAGGAUGUGGGAUUGCACAGACAACCAGGAUGUUGGCUUAGAAGCAGCCACUCAUUCAAAGAGUGCGUAAUAGCUCACUGGUCGAGUGAUCCUGCGCCGAAGAUUUCCGGGGCUAAAACUUACUACCGAAGCUACGGCAUCAGUAAUGAUGGGUAGGGGAGCUUCCCAUACGGGUUGAAGCAUGACCGUAAGGACAUGUGGACAGUAUGGGAGUGAGAAUGUUGGCAUGAGUAGCGAGAUGUGGGUGAGAAUCCCACAGGCCGUAAACCCAAGGUUUCCAGGGGAAGGUUCGUCCGCCCUGGGUUAGUCGGGACCUAAGCUGAGGCCGAAAGGCGUAGGUGAUGGACAACAGGUUGAUAUUCCUGUACUACCGAUAACCGUUUGAGAGAAGGGAUGACACAGUAGGAUAAGCUAAGCACACUGUUGGUUAUGUGUGCCCAAGCAUUGAGGCAGUCAAAGUAGGCAAAUCCGCUUUGAUAAUGCUGGGAUGUGAUGGGGAGCGAAAUUUAGUAGCGAAGUAGCUGAUUUCACACUGUCAAGAAAAGUCUCUAUCGAGGUUAAAGGUACCCGUACCGCAAACCGACACAGGUGGGUGAGGAGAGUAUCCUAAGGCCAGCGAGAGAACUGUUGUUAAGGAACUCGGCAAAAUGACCCCGUAACUUAGGGAUAAGGGGUGCCACCAUCAGGUGGCCGCAGAGAAUAGGCCCAAGCGACUGUUUACCAAAAACAUAGGUUUCUGCUAAGUCGCAAGACGAUGUAUAGGAGCUGACGCCUGCCCGGUGCUGGAAGGUUAAGGGGAUCUGUUAGAGCAAUCGAAGCAGUGAACUUAAGCCCCAGUAAACGGCGGCCGUAACUAUAACGGUCCUAAGGUAGCGAAAUUCCUUGUCGGGUAAGUUCCGACCCGCACGAAAGGCGUAACGAUUUGGGCACUGUCUCAACAACAGACUCGGUGAAAUUGUAAUUCCGGUGAAGAUGCCGGAUACCUGCGACAGGACGGAAAGACCCCAUGGAGCUUUACUGUAGCUUGACAUUGGGUCUUGGUACUACAUGUACAGGAUAGGUGGGAGGCUUUGAAACCAGGACGCCAGUUUUGGCGGAGCCAUCCUUGGGAUACCACCCUUGUAGUACUGGGACUCUAACCAUAGGCCAUGAAUCUGGUCUUGGGACACUGUCAGGUGGGCAGUUUGACUGGGGCGGUCGCCUCCCAAAAGGUAACGGAGGCGCUCAAAGGUUCUCUCAGUACGGUCGGAAAUCGUACGUAGAGUGUAAAGGCAAAAGAGAGCUUGAUUGCAAGACAUACAGGUCGAGCAAGGAUGAAAAUCGGACUUAGUGAUCCGGUGGUUCUGCGUGGAAGGGCCAUCGCUCAACGGAUAAAAGCUACCCUGGGGAUAACAGGCUUAUCUCCCCCAAGAGUCCACAUCGACGGGGAGGUUUGGCACCUCGAUGUCGGCUCAUCACAUCCUGGGGCUGUAGUAGGUCCCAAGGGUUGGGCUGUUCGCCCAUUAAAGUGGUACGCGAGCUGGGUUCAGAACGUCGUGAGACAGUUCGGUCCCUAUCCGUCGCAGGCGUAGGAAAUUUGAGAAGACCUGUCCUUAGUACGAGAGGACCGGGAUGGACGUACCUCUGGUGUACCAGUUGUCCUGCCAAGGGCAUGGCUGGGUAGCUAUGUACGGAAUGGAUAAGCGCUGAAAGCAUCUAAGCGCGAAGCCAACUUCAAGAUAAGAUUUCCCACCGCAAGGGUAAGACCCCAGAAAGACUAUCUGGUUGAUAGGUCGAAGGUGUAAGUGCAGCAAUGUAUUUAGCUUAUCGAUACUAAUAGGUCGAGGACUUGACCAA
rnacentral:rRNA from 1 species